GACGAACGCUGGCGGCGUGCCUAAUACAUGCAAGUCGAGCGCAGGAAGCCGUCUGAACCCUUCGGGGGGACGACGGUGGAAUGAGCGGCGGACGGGUGAGUAACACGUAAAGAACCUGCCCAUAGGUCUGGGAUAACCACGAGAAAUCGGGGCUAAUACCGGAUGUGUCAUCGGACCGCAUGGCCCGCUGAUGAAAGGCGCUUCGGCGUCGCCCAUGGAUGGCUUUGCGGUGCAUUAGCUAGUUGGUGGGGUAACGGCCCACCAAGGCGACGUUGCAUAGGCGACCUGAGAGGGUGAUCGGCCACACUGGGACUGAGACACGGCCCAGACUCCUACGGGAGGCAGCAGUAGGGAAUCUUCACAAUGGACGAAAGUCUGAUGGAGCAACGCCGCGUGAACGAUGAAGGCUUUCGGGUCGUAAAGUUCUGUUGUAAGGGAUGAACAAGUGCCGCAGGCAAUGGCGGCACCUUGACGGUACCUUGCGAGAAAGCCACGGCUAACUACGUGCCAGCCGCCGCCGUAA
rnacentral:rRNA from 1 species